rnacentral:rRNA from 1 species
GACGAACGCUGGCGGCGUGCUUAACACAUGCAAGUCGAACGGAAAGGCCCUGCUUUUGUGGGGUGCUCGAGUGGCGAACGGGUGAGUAACACGUGAGUAACCUGCCCUUUACUUUGGGAUAACUUCAGGAAACUGGGGCUAAUACCGGAUAGGAGCUCCUGCUGCAUGGUGGGGGUUGGAAAGUUUCGGCGGUUGGGGAUGGACUCGCGGCUUAUCAGCUUGUUGGUGGGGUAGUGGCUUACCAAGGCUUUGACGGGUAGCCGGUCUGAGAGUGUGAGCGGCCAUAGUGGGAGUGAGAUGCGGCCCAGACUCAUACGGGAGGGAGCAGUGGGGAAUAUUGCACAAUGGGCGAAAGCGUGAUGCAGCAGCGGCGUGUGGGGGAUGGCGGCCCUCGGUGUGUACACCUUUUUCGCGUGUGACGGAGCGUGAGUGACGGUAAUGGGUGAAGAAGCACCGGCUAACUACGUG